GAUGAACGCUGGCGGCGUGCCUAAUACAUGCAAGUCGAGCGAACGGACGAGAAGCUUGCUUCUCUGAUGUUAGCGGCGGACGGGUGAGUGACACGUGGAUAACCUACCUAUAAGACUGGGAUAACUUCGGGAAACCGGAGCUAAUACCGGAUAAUAUUUUGAACCGCAUGGUUCAAAAGUGAAAGACGGUCUUGCUGUCACUUAUAGAUGGAUCCGCGCUGCAUUAGCUAGUUGGUAAGGUAACGGCUUACCAAGGCAACGAUGGAUAGCCGACCUGAGAGGGUGAUCGGCCACACUGGAACUGAGACACGGUCCAGACUCCUACGGGAGGCAGCAGUAGGGAAUCUUCCGCAAUGGGCGAAAGCCUGACGGAGCAACGCCGCGUGAGUGAUGAAGGUCUUCGGAUCGUAAAACUCUGUUAUUAGGGAAGAACAUAUGUGUAAGUAACUGUGCACAUCUUGACGGUACCUAAUCAGAAAGCCACGGCUAACUACGUG
rnacentral:rRNA from 1 species